UACAGGGGGGGCAAGCGUUGUUCGGAAUUACUGGGCGUAAAGGGCUCGUAGGCGGCCUGCUAAGUCGGACGUGAAAUCCCUCGGCUUAACCGGGGAACUGCGUCUGAUACUGGAUGGCUUGAGUUUGGGAGAGGGACGCGGAAUUCCAGGUGUAGCGGUGAAAUGCGUAGAUAUCUGGAGGAACACCGGUGGCGAAGGCGGCGUCCUGGACCAACACUGACACUGAGGAGCGAAAGCCAGGGGAGCAAACGGG
rnacentral:rRNA from 1 species